AAGAGGUCUCUACUAAUUAAGUUAAGGGGAAUAUGACAAUUAAUCGGUUAAUUAUGGAUACCUAAGUAGGCUAGGUGAUUUCAAAAGAUUUGCAUGCUAAACAAGAUCAAAUUGCCAUAGAAGAAAGGUUAGGAUGCGUACCCGGACCGCUUCUCAAGCGCUAUCAUAAAACAUCAGAGUUAGUAUAGAAGUAUAACACACAACAUGUAUUUAAUCAUAGUGAAUCAAGCAUACAUCUAAACACCUAAAGAUCAUCAAUCAUAUGCAUACUUCACAGUGACAUGAUUGUUUACAAAAUUUAGAAAGUAGGUGAUAGGGGGGCGUACCUGGAUAGCAUAAAUAACUUACAAUGCGCUCCCAUAAGACAUGAGGGAUUAGAUAAUAAUAAAAUAAAGAAACCCUAGCAUGCUUGUUAUCUAAUUAGCAUAACAAAAAUUAUCAAAGUAUAUGAAAACAUUAAUUAUCACACAUCUUAUAUACAAUUCCUAAAAAAGAUAGACAUAAUUUCAACAAGUGACAAAAAUGGCAACAAAGAUAAUUUUUGAAAAGAUUUUCUUAUGUAGGGGUUUCACCAAUUCCCCAAUUGAUAUACACGAAUUUAGCCCAGAAUCAUCCCAUUAUUUGGGACCACAAGCUUUGAUUCAUGUUUUUGUUCAAAACCAAACUUUUUGUUAAAAACCGAGAAGGAUGCAAACCGAACAAAAUAUGG
rnacentral:lncRNA from 1 species